GGAUGUGAGGGUGAUCAGGCUGUGACAUCUGUCACCCCAGUGAUCUCCAGUGUUGAUUCUGAGGAUCUGGCUGGCUAGGCAGGUGUCCCCUUCCUCCCUCACUGCUCCAGGUACAUCCCUCCCAAAACUGCAUGCUCAGUUGAAGAGGACGGUGCCUCCGGACAGAAGAGGACCACAGUGAAUGCUAACACUCUCUUACUGAAAUGGCCCACCAUUUCCCCAGGGUGCAUGUUUUCCCUCACCCCAGAGUAACAAGCCCAACUUGUUCACCCAUGUGUGGUGUGUUCCUGUGCCUUUGGCUGGUCACCAGUGACAAGCAGUACCAUCUCAU
rnacentral:sRNA from 1 species